AUAGAAACUAUACAGGUCUCUUCCUUAGAAUCUAAAGAGCAUCUAAGGUCAUUGGAAGCAAAGGUAGUCACAAUGCAGAAUAAGAUAACUGAUCUGGAGGACCGUGCUCGCAUAAAUAAUGUAAGAAUCAGAAAUAUACCCGAAACGGUUACUAAUGAUGCAUUAGAGCACUAUAUUAUAGAAUUUUUUGAAUCUAUGGAUCUCCCAAAUGAAUCUCCCCACUUAAUAAUGGAAAAAUUCCAUAGAAUUCGUAAGCCACCAUCUGUCCC